GCAUAGACAUGCGAGAUGGACCUUUUCCAAAUAGGCUGAUCAAUGAUUAUCUUCUCUCCGCGACUUAUCGAUAUUUCCUCUGAUCCUCGAACAAGGAACAGAGGUUCUUUCUUUCUUUCGGUAAACGCCCCCCGCACACACUAAGAUGAAGAAAUAGCGGUGCUUGUAGGUCACGGAAAUCCCCGGGGAAGGGGAAGUGGCUGCGGUUGUCAGCCCGGAGUUCCCCUGGCGGGAGGAAAGCACCGCGGGGCGCGGGGGGCGGAGACGUUAAAGGCGGGGAGACUGCAGCGCACGAGCCGCCAGCCGACAGGUGUCCCCGGAGCCCAGGUCCCCGGCACCUCGGCCCGGGCAGCAGGUUUUACAAAGGAAGCAAACUGUUUUACUUCUUUUAUAUUUUUUCCAUUUUUUUUUUCUUUCUGUAAAUCAAAACAGCUCAACAUGGAGGCCUAAAAUCUUUAAAGGGACUUAGUCUAAUCUCCGGGAGGUAGUUUUGUGCAUGAAUAAACAAAUUAAGUAGUUAAUUAGAGUUUGUGGCUUCCAAAGAAUGUUAUCAUUUAAAAAAUAUGAUCAAGUUAUCUGAAGUAUAACAAUAAAAUAAUAUUGAGGUUUUUUUAAUUUGACUAUGGGGAAGUGAUGUGAGUUGGGACACAUUCUUGAAAUACUCUUCAAAAUUGGCUGAGCGACCUGGCUGCUGUGUAGACUAGAAAAAAAAGUACCUAUGUUUGUUAAAGAUUUAGAAAUGAAUGACAGUUAUCUAGAACAAAGAGUUAAUAUUCAACCCUCUGUUAAAUUAGAGAUAUAUACAAACAAGACCUUUGACAUGUUUAAAGAAAUGUCAAGAACAAAACUUUUUGUUAAGUACAAGAACUUUAGACAAAGUAGAAAAGAUGAACUUGACGAUUGGUGAAUAAAUUAUCUAACCAUUGAUAAGACAAUUGGUAUUUUAGAUUGUUCAAAUGGGCUAUUUAUCUCUGAGAUUGAUAAGAAUAAGAACAAUGGCUGGAGGGUUACAUUUUGAUAAAGGAACAACCUUAUUCAGAAGUAAAAUUUGCAGAGACAAAAUAAACCCCAAAAAGGUGAUUUAACAAUGUGUAAAAUUUUUGACCAGUGAAAAACUGAAAUUAGAUACAAUAACUCACCUUUGAGAUAUGGGUGUUUUUGUUGUUGUUGUUGUUUUGUUUUGUUUUUUGCCACCUGGAAAUAAAGCAUUAAAGUCUGCAGUGGGAAAUCUCAGUAUAAAAACAAAAACAAAA